UGCUAGGAUGCCAGACUGGUGUCACUUGUA
rnacentral:piRNA from 1 species